rnacentral:rRNA from 1 species
UCCGUAGGCGGGUAAUUAAGUCAGAGGUGAAAUCCCACAGCUUAACUGUGGAACUGCCUUAGAUACUGGUUAUCUUGAGUUUUAGUGAAGUAGAUAGAAUGUGUAGUGUAGCGGUGAAAUGCAUAGAUAUUACACAGGAUACCGAUUGCGAAGGCAGUCUACUAACUAACAACUGACGCUAAUGGACGAAAGCGUGGGGAGCGAACAGGAUUAGAUACCCUGGUAGUCC